rnacentral:misc_RNA from 1 species
GUGAAUCAUCAAAUCUUUGAACGCAAAUUGCACUCUCUUCGGAGAGUAUGCCUGUUUGAGGGUCAGCCUAAAAAAAAAAUCGACAUAGUCGCUGUUUCGCGGUGUCAUUCGUCGGCAAUUUGGUCAUCUUAAACCUUUGGGUUUUAAGCGGCUUAAAAUUUUCUUUACGAUUACACGAACGUUUCUAAGAUUUACUUCUUAUACGUUUAAGCUAUACAUCUUUAUUAGAAGUGGCCGUCGGAUCGGAACCCCCCCAAAA